AUGACAUUCAAACUGCCACACUUGACGACGCGUGAUCUUUGUUUUGUCUUUAUAUAAUACUGUAAGAAGUCAUGUACCACACAUUGUCAAACCUGAAGAAGUGUAUCUUCCUGCAAUCUGGGCUCCAGACCUGGAGAUUGAAGUUCCUAAAGGUUGAUGUUUAUCAAGCUUGUGACCUUAUUGCAUG